AACGUAGGACGCGAGCGUUAUCCGGAGUUACUGGGCGUAAAGGGCGGGCAGGCGGCCUGGCAAGAUGGGUGUGAAAUCUCCUGGCUCAACCAGGAGGGGCCACUCGUGACUGCGAGGCUGGAGGGCGACAGAGGAGCGUGGAAUUCCGGGUGGAGUGGUGAAAUGCGUAGAGAUCCGGAGGAACACCAGAGGCGAAGGCGGCGCUCUGGGUCGCACCUGACGCUGAACCGCGAAAGCCAGGGUAGCGAACGGG
rnacentral:rRNA from 1 species